ACCGGUCGCGGCGCGCGGAAUGCGUUAAUGGCAAGGCGCGAAGAAAAUCGCGUGCUGCAUGCAGUGCUCGUAUCUGGUCUUCUCGUGAAGACGUGCUGGUUUCUCUCAAGGGGAAUUAGUGUCAUGAAGUACACGCUGCAUACCGCGUUUAGCGACGCUUUACAACACUACGAUUUUGCCUAUGCUCUGAGAUUGUUUGGCACCAAUAUGUGAGAUGUAAGGUUGAAGUAAUCUUCGGCUGAGAAGACAUGUUACUGGUGUGAUACUUUUUCAGUGAGCUAAGCUGUGCUCAUGGGCAUCCUUGGUCUGUCCUCAUUUAUUGAACAAAGGGCUAAAGUAUUCUUUCAACAAGAGCAUGUAGCGAGCUGCUUUUUGGUUAUUGAUGGAAAUAAUGUUGCUCACCACCUUUUUACAAAUAGGGGCACCUGUGUGGGCUCAGGUACAGACUAUCUUCAGUAUGCCAAUCAAGUGGAGCUUUUCUUCUCAGACUUGAAAAGUUGCAAUAUCAUCCCAGUGGUCCUUCUGGAUGGUGGAAGGGAUAGAAAUGAUGCAAAACUUCCAAAGCAAGUCAGUCGCCUUAAAGAAAAGGUCUGCACAUCUGUGCGUGCUUCAGCAUCCAAGCAUCAUCAAGAACAUGUGUUCCCUCCAUUGGCCAGGACAGUAUUUAUUGAGGCAGUGCGUGGCCUGGGCGUGGCACUGGUGCAGUGCCCCCGCGAGGCCGAUGGCCCCGCCGC